CAGGUUGGGUUGUAGCUGUAGAAGUCAGUCCCGGUUGGGUUGUAACUGUAGAAGUCAGUCCCGGUCCCGGUCAGGUUGGGUUGUAACUGUAGAAGUCAGUCCCGGUUCCGGUCAGGUCGGGUAAUAGCUGUAGAAGUCAGUCCCAGUCCCGGUCAGGUUGGGUUGUAACUGUAGAAGUCAGACCCGGUCCGGUUGUAGAAGUCAGUCCCGGUCCUGGUCAGGUUGGGAGGGGUGUCAGUGCUGUUACUCUGAAGGUAUUGCACUUGUCCCGGCCUGUUUAGGAUUGAGGAGAUGGUGCUCCUACUCUUUAAACCUGCUAAAGCAGUUGGUUGCGUGUUUGAAAUGAUUGAAUGAAACAUAUAUUUACCAAAAAAUGAGACUUGUAUGUUUUCUGUCCCAUGAUUCUGUUUUUCUAGAUUUGUCUUUAAUUAAUGAAGAGGUAGUUUUCUAAAUUGUAGAUGGAUUGUCGGAGCUUAAAUGUGUCCGUCCAUAUGGUGAGUACUUGUUUCAUGCUGUGGUUUUGUUUCAAAUAAAGUUUCCAUGUAAAUGUA